UUUACAUUCUGGCAACAUGGCAAGAAAGGAUGGUUUUGCAGAAGCCAGUGUGUCAAAAAUCCUAAGUGGCUGGGAGAUGAAGUGCACAAUCACAGAAAGCAGUCACUGGUAAAGGAAUGUCAGCCACUUACCAAUGAGAUGCCAGACUCCCCUGUCCUUCCUCUGUGACUCUCAGUUCCUGUCUCCCAUCCUCCUGCCCGUCGGCACAGUUCAGACAGAGCAGUUCCUUGGGUCCUUCUCAGCCUGUGGCAGAAGAGAAUUGCGGAGUUUUUAAUCAUUCAGAGGGAAUCCUCCAGCUUGCUCUGCCUCUCCCAGAAGACCGGACCCAGGGUCUCCUGCUAAGUCGCCCAGGCUGUCCUCAAACUUGAGAUUCUCUUUCCUCAGCCUCUGGAGUUGCUGGAAUUACAGAUUGUGACCAUAUCUUCAACUUGUACUGCAGGCUCCUAAAUAUAAGAGCAGUAAAUUGGACAAAUUGCCUUGGGAUUUCCACACUAAUUUAUUUACUGGAAAAAAAAUUAUAAAAAGCAAGCAUUUGAUUGUAUGUAGAUCCAUAAAUAAUGGAAUAUUAUUUUGCCUUGAUGAGGAAGGAGAUUCUGAUACAUGUUACAACAUGUAUAAUAUUUUAAGUGAAAUUGUUCAGGCACAGAAAGACAAAUAUUGUAGUUUUAUGCAUAAUAAUUAUAGAGAAUGUGCAAACUCAUAGAGAUGAAAACUAAAAUAGAGGAUUCCAGGAGCUUGGGGAAGAAGCAAUGGAAGUUGGUAUUUACUGAAUACAGGGAUUCUGUUUGAGAUUAUUUAAAAUGUUCUGGAAGUACUGGUGAAGUUUUUCCUUGUGUAAACGGUAUUUACCCACAGUUGUGAAUGUGGUUAGUGCUAUUGAAUCAAGCUCUUAUCAAUGAUUAAAGUGGCAAAAAUUCUUAUGUAAACUUUUACCACAAAAACCACAUUUUUAUGAAUGCUACUUGGGCAUAUUAGGGAAUAUUACUUAGCAUCAAAACCAAGGUCUAUAAAAUAGAAAUGGUAAUACCUGUAAGGCUGUAAAAAGAUGUAAUAGAUUAUGUGUAUAAUCCUUCCUGUGAGUAGUGAGGUACCUAAGUAUGGUGUGCCAAUUUUGUGUUUAUGUGUUGUACUUAAAGAAGUCAAAGAAAUGUGCACCAGAGUUAACUAUUCCUCAGUGUUUUCUUAGUGUGUCCUGUGAAAGACUAAUUCCAAAAGAAAUGGUUAACUGACAGAGACUACUAAUAAAUACGUGUAGGAAAUGCUGCUUAUUACAUGAAUUUGUUGAUUUUUUAAGGUGGGCAUUGUUUUAUUAAAGCUUGAGAAACUUCCUGCAAUAAAGAAACAUGUUACCCUUGUCAGAGCAACAUGUUUUUGAGCAUGUGGCCAUAGAACCUCAUUUUAUAGUCUUCCUGUAUAAAGAUUCAUUCAGGUACAAUAUCACCAAGGACUUUUCAUCCUACUUGAAUGUACCUUUCUAUCGUAUCUUUUAAAUUAUUUUAGAAAAUUCCAUUUUCAGGAAAAACUACUUAACUCUCAUAGUUUGUUGACAAUUGUUCACACAAAAUAUAGCAAAUUGCCACACAUUUCAUUCCUCCCCCCACCACAAAAAAAUCUGGUUUAAUUUGAUGACAUUAGAGCAUAAAACAAUACAGUCCUGUUUUAUUAUGUUAUAGAGCUUGUUCUACUCUUUAAAAAGAACCAAACAUUUUUUUAAGUUAAAAAAUUAGGUGGAGCAUAUCACAUAUUUAUGGCAGAAAACUAUGUUACUUUCAUUGUCAAAAUAUGACAUUAUGUAUUUAUUAAUACUUAUAGAUUAUAUAAAAGAAACAACUAUAGUCUAACUCUGGAUUUUUAAUUAAUAAUAACGUGUCUAUAUUGGUUGUUCAAUUUUUACAAUUGUACCACAGUAAAUGAAGCUUUAAAAGAUUAAAAAUAGUGUGUGGAUCUGGGCUCUGUGGCACACACCUGUAAUCCCAGGGUCCUGGCAGGAAGAUAGUGAGUUCAGUGCCAGCCCCAGCAAUAAACAGAUGCUGAGCAACUCAGUGAGACCCUUUCUCUAAAUAAAAUACAAAAUAGGGCUAAAGUUGUGGCUCAGUGGUCGAGUGUCCUUAAAUUCAAUCCCCAAUAUGCUCCACCCCCUAAAAUAUUUAUAGACUUAGGGAAGAUCAAGUUGAGGAAGAAGGAAAUUCCAUGCUUUCUAAAUUUUCAGUAAACCAAAAAUUGAUAUAAAAAGAUAAAUUCUAGAAACAGAGUAUUUUGGAAAAGAAAAUAAAAAAUAGAUACAUAUAUGUUAUGUAUACUUAUGUUUCAUAUAUUUCUUUUGAAUGCUUAACAUAUUCUUGUAUUGACACAGGAGAGAGUGUACUUUAAGGAUUUUGGCUAUAUAUUAUUUAAUGCCAUUUACCUGGACAAGUUAGAUGAUCUCAGCAAUUGUAUAUCUAUAAUGUACUUAUACUUUAAUUCUAUUUUUACUACAUUUCCUAAGCAGUCUCAGUGACUACCUUGUCUAUAAAUAUUGAAAUGAAUUUGAUAGUGAGAUUAUUAAAUUUCAUGGUUUUAACUGACCACUAAGAUAAUUAUGAGACAUACUUUUGUCAAUUUUGGAAAUAAACUUUCAAAAGUGGAUGAAAUAAAAAAAUGAAAAAGUGAAGAGAAACAAAAUAUUGCUAAACACAUACACUCAAAUAUAAGCAUACUAUUGCAUUCCUCACAUAAAAACUUUAAAAAUGUAAGCAAUAUGUCAGGUUUCAAACUAGAGAUGAUGAGAGUCUUUAAUUCUUUCUUAAAAAAAUAUUUUCACAAGUUGUCAUAUCUCAAGUCAUUCCUAUAAUGUUUAAGAGUUAGGCAUUUUAUAGAUAUAAUAAAUAUAACUCAGAAUGACUUGAGACAUGGAUCUGCUCAUGCUAUCAAGCAUCAUGGGAUUUACUGUUCAAGAUGACCAUAUAGAUUCCCACAGAAGCAUACACUGAUAGAAGGAUGUGAGUGUAAGCAAUUAAUUUAGGAGGUUAAGGAAAAAGGACAGGGAAUUCUGAAGUUAGACUUUUGGGAGGGGAGGGAACAACAGGAGCUCAUUAUUGAGCUAAUUCUUACGCUGGCCAAAGGAGACUCAGUUGCUAGUGUAGAAUAUACAUUCAAAAUUAUCCCAUCUGUGUAUUGAAAGAACUUGGUUUACCAACUCCCAUCAACUAUUGACUGAGGAAUGAUUUCAGAUAGUCUUGACUCUCUCACACGUUUGGCCAGGAGAACAGGAAGUGAGAGCAUGUUUCAGAAGCUGAAGAAAGUAUUCAGGGAGAGAAAUGCAGAUCCUGAUGGAAGAAUUUUGAACUGAGUAUAGAAAUGAUAGAACAAAGAUAUUUAUUGGACACCAGCCUCAUCUGCUAUUGUUAUUAACAUUUUAUCAGCUAUUCUGCUACCCAAUUAUUAUUGUCAUUGCUUUUCUAUUAAUACUAUAGUUUAAAUUAUAUGUCAUAGAAUGUUGGCUGAAGAGAGGACUAUUCAUAUGUUAGGAAAUGAAUAGCAGUAUCAGGAAACAGCACACAUAAAAACAAUUUAAAAAAUUUUCUGAAACACUUAAGAUGUUUAGCAAUUCUACUUGUGUUUAUUAAUAUUUUCUUAUUACUGUGUGUAUAUAUGUGACUGCAUGACCAAUGUGAUUCUGCAACCUGUAUACUCAGAAAAAUGAGAAAUUAUAUU